rnacentral:rRNA from 1 species
GACGAACGCGGCGGCGUGCCUAAUACAUGCAAGUAGAACGCUGAAGGAGGAGCUUGCUCUUCUGGAUGAGUUGCGAACGGGUGAGUAACGCGUAGGUAACCUGCCUGGUAGCGGGGGAUAACUAUUGGAAACGAUAGCUAAUACCGCAUAAGAGUAGAUGUUGCAUGACAUUUACUUAAAAGGUGCAAUUGCAUCACUACCAGAUGGACCUGCGUUGUAUUAGCUAGUUGGUGGGGUAACGGCUCACCAAGGCGACGAUACAUAGCCGACCUGAGAGGGUGAUCGGCCACACUGGGACUGAGACACGGCCCAGACUCCUACGGGAGGCAGCAGUAGGGAAUCUUCGGCAAUGGACGGAAGUCUGACCGAGCAACGCCGCGUGAGUGAAGAAGGUUUUCGGAUCGUAAAGCUCUGUUGUAAGAGAAGAACGAGUGUGAGAGUGGAAAGUUCACACUGUGACGGAUCUUACC